rnacentral:rRNA from 1 species
UACGGAGGGUGCAAGCGUUAUCCGGAUUUACUGGGUUUAAAGGGUGUGUAGGCGGACUUUUAAGUCAGCGGUGAAAUCUCCGGGCUCAACCCGGAAACUGCCAUUGAUACUAUUGGUCUUGAAUAUUGUGGAGGUGGGCGGAACGGGUCAUGUAGCGGUGAAAUGCUUAGAGAUGACCCGGAACACCGAUUGCGAAGGCAGCCCACUACGCAAUGAUUGACGCUGAGGCACGAAAAGC